UAGGGAAUCUUCGGCAAUGGACGGAAGUCUGACCGAACAACGCCGCGUGAGUGAAGAAGGUUUUCGGAUCGUAAAGCUCUGUUGUUAGAGAAGAACGUUGGUAGGAGUGGAAAAUCUACCAAGUGACGGUAACUAACCAGAAAGGGACGGCUAACUACGUGCCAGCAGCCGCGGUAAUACGUAGGUCCCGAGCGUUGUCCGGAUUUAUUGGGCGUAAAGCGAGCGCAGGCGGUUCUUUAAGUCUGAAGUUAAAGGCAGUGGCUUAACCAUUGUACGCUUUGGAAACUGGAGGACUUGAGUGCAGAAGGGGAGAGUGGAAUUCCAUGUGUAACGGUGAAAUGCGUAGAUAUAUAGAGGAACACCGGUGGCGAAAGCGGCUCUCUGGUCUGUAACUGACGCUGAGGCUCGAAAGCGUGGGGAGCAAACAGG
rnacentral:rRNA from 1 species